rnacentral:rRNA from 1 species
AUGGCCCCUGCAGCUAUAGGCAUAGCUCCGCCAGUGGAAAGGAGAUUCCCAGCUUGUUUUAAGACAAGCUGCAAGGAGUAUCAAACCUCGUGUUCAACCAUGGGAGUGUACCUUAUGGAGGUUUCAAAGCUGGAAAGGGCGCACGUCGGCUUUGAUUACCAACACAUACCUUGGCUGGAAAAUCAAUGGGCCGACGAGAUCACCCAACUGGCUUCCUUGCGGUCUCUAGGAAUUUUUGAGAUCUUCAUUGAGAAGCUCCUCAAGCUAUCAAUAUCGCAAGCAAGCGACGUAGAUGAAGAGGUUGGUGUAUGA